CUACGGGAGGCAGCAGUGGGGAAUAUUGGACAAUGGGCGCAAGCCUGAUCCAGCAAUGCCGCGUGUGUGAAGAAGGCCUGCGGGUUGUAAAGCACUUUAAGCCGGAAAGAAGGGGUGGUGGUUAAUACCCGCCAUCAUUGACGUUACCGGCAGAAUAAGCACCGGCUAACUCCGUGCCAGCAGCCGCGGUAAUACGGAGGGUGCGAGCGUUAAUCGGAAUUACUGGGCGUAAAGCGCGCGUAGGCGGUUGACUAAGUCCGCUGUGAAAGCCCUGGGCUUAACCUGGGAACGGCGUUUGAAACUGGAGGGCUGGAGUGUGGCAGAGGGAGGUGGAAUUCCACGUGUAGCAGUGAAAUGCGUAGAGAUGUGGAGGAACACCGAUGGCGAAGGCAGCCUCCUGGGCCAACACUGACGCUCAUGCACGAAAGCGUGGGGAGCAAACAGGAUUAGAUACCCGUGUAGUCC
rnacentral:rRNA from 1 species